rnacentral:lncRNA from 1 species
CACAAUUUGUUUUAAUAAAGCAUGUGCGAGUUUUUAUUUUUUUGGACAAACAAUAGUAAACCCCCCAACCUAUAAGGUUAUUUACGAGUUUAUACCUGAUUUCGAGGACAUUUACCAGUAUAUACUCAACGUCACGGAAACCUACAAAUUUCCCCCUCCGUUAACGAGACCUUCAAGAAAUCUGUUAUCUGUCUACGUGGCAUUUAGCUGGACGAUUUUAUAAGGGCAUUUUCGGCAUCUCAUGUCCCUGGGUUUUGUGCCCAAAACAACACGUGGCUUUCUAUAAUUCGAAAAAACAAAAACAAAAAACCCCCGAAUUGAGUUCCAGAUACUCGUCGUCCAUAACCCCCUCACCCAAAUCGAUUUCCCCCCCAAAUCGAAACCGAUUCCACAAAUUGAAACCUAAUCCCCAUUUCGCAUUGAUCAAAAGCACAAAGAAAGCUGGUUGCUGUAAUUCGAGAUGCCGUGGGGUAUUCGUCCUUGUGGUUUUCGUGUUCCUCAUUCUUGUAAGUUGAAGGCAGUUUUAA